rnacentral:lncRNA from 1 species
GCCUAAUGGGGUCUGACCUCACCCUGUUUGGAGGUGGCCUUGUAAGAGCAAGAGCAAGGUCCACCAGAGAACAUCUGUUAACCUCUUCCCCAGCUCUUAGAGAAAAGAGCUGGAACCACAAAUUUACAGACACUGCUGAGGCCUGGGACCACCCAGUGGGGAGAUCUCUGGUGGAGGGAGCAGAGGAAGGAAAGAGGAAGGAUAUCAAAGAGUUGCAGAGUCAGAGGAGAAGGGAUGGCCCCGAGAGCACUGACAAUGUGUGUGGUAUGGUCUCUGCCCAGGCCAGCAGCAAGGGAAUGGAGGAGGACUUCCCUCUCUGCACAAGAAGUGAAUCUGGAGAAGAGACACCUGGCGUAUUUAGAGAGCCAAUGGCUCCUUCAUCUCCAAAGGAAUCUUGGGAACUUGCUGCCAUACAGGAUGGUGAUCAGUUGGACUGCUGGAAUGCACAGGUUGAUUCCCUAAGAUUAUCUUUGGGCUUUGGGGACAUUUGCAUCACAUGUUAAAAACUGGUGAAAAUUCAUUUAAUUUUUUAAUUUUUAAUUUUUUUCUUUUGUCCUUUUAGGGCUGCACCUGUGGCAUAUUCCCAGGCUAGGGGUCUAAUGGGAGCUGUAGCUGCUGGCCUAUGCCAGAGCCACAGCAACGCCAGACCCGAGCUGUGUCUGUGACCUACACCACAGCUCAUGGCGAUGGCAGAUCCUUAGCUCACGGCGAUGCCGGAUCCUUAACCCACUGAGCCAGGCCAAGGAUCAAAGCCGCAACCUCAUGGGUCCUAGUUGGAUUCCUUUCCGCUGCACCAUGACAGGAACUCCUGAAAAUUUAUUUUUAUUUUAAAAUUUCUUACAAGUAUUUCAUCUGUCAUGAGAGAAAAUAAAAAAUUCCAAAGGGAAAAAUGCACACAUUGCUGUGCUCCAUGUCCGAAAAAGCAAAGUGAAUACUUAUCUGCUGCCAAUAUGCUUAAUUAGGGUAGACAAGGGAGGAAACAUUUAAAAUUAUGGUUUUGAAAAAAGCCACUGAAGUAAAUAGGCAUGACAUUGAGUGGUCAGACAUCUAUUCCCAAAUUUUUUUUUUUUUUUUUUUUUUGUCUUUUUAGGGCCAUACCCGCAGCAUAUGGAGGUUCCCAGGCUAGGGGUUGAAUCAGAGCUACAGCUGAUAGCCUAUGCCACAGCCACAGCAACACGGGAUCUGAGCUGUGUCUGCGACCUGUACCACAGCUCACAGCAAUCCUUGAUCCUUAACCCACUGAAUGAGGCCAGGGAUUGAACCUGCUCAUGCAUACUAGUUGGAUUUGUUUCCUCUAAGCCACAAGGGGAACUCCCUGAUUUUUUUUAAUGCAUCUUUUUACUAUGUUUGUUUUAUAAAAAGAGGAACUCAAAGAGACAAAGUGGGCAUUAAGUAUUUUUAUAAAAUAUUCUGUAGAUUUAACAAUGCAGCUCUUUAAAAUUUUUCACUCCUGUAAAACAGAGAGCAAGAUUUUAUUAUUAAUAGCGGAC